AUUAAAGAGAAUGGCUCAUGAAAAUGAAAAGCAUCAUGCAAUGUAACGUGUAUUUACGUUAUUUUCGUAUCGGCUCGACAGAGAAACGAAAAAAAAAAAAAAUCAUCUUGGCUUUGACAGUGCACUCCGUUAGGCAAAGAAGGAGGGACUGCGAACUUAUCGACAACUUACUACUUACAUACAUAUUUAACAAACACGCAGUCUUAUCAAAUAGAACCCGUGAACGAACUCUGACAAGUAAAAAGACACAAAUACAAUGGAAAUUCAAUUUUCUAUGAUCGCCAUUUAAUAAAAUUCGAUAAAAAGUCGGUUGACGUGGAUAAGGACGGAGGUGGCUAACUAGGAACUGCGAGGCACUGCAAAAAGAUAUCGGCAGAGAGAACCAAGAAACCCUAAGGAACGAAUUCUACGACGUGCAACUGACGUGUAUCACUUUUUGUCAAACAAGGAUAGUUUGCUGCGCACAGCACCCUCGCAAACGACCAAUCUCUGCGCAGCUGAGAUGUUGCACAGUGGUACAGGACCCUCCAAGCUGGCCUUAAGCAAGGUUAAUCUGCUGGAGCCGGCAUCAUAAUCGGUUAAACGCAAGCUAC